GAUUCCCACCCCACCGCCUCCUCCCCUCUCCAAAACCUCCCCCCAAACCCUCGGAAACCCAACCUCGCCGCCUCCGCCGCCGCCGCCAUGCGCCGAUCCAACGAUGGCCGCCCCUUCCGCCCGCCGGACUGGGGCCCGCCGCCGCACCGCUACCACCACCACCACCAGAACCAGUACCAGUACCAGCAGCGGUAUCGCCCCGCGCAGCCGGGGCCGCGGCAGUUCGCCGUGAUCCUCCUCCGCGGGGGGAGCAACCUCUCGGCGCCGCCGGCCACGGAGGUCGAGGCACUCGUCGCCGGCCUGCCCUCCCCUCCCCCGGACAGCCUGAGCGUCUCCUCGUCGGGCCGCCAGGCCGCGCGCCUCGCGUUCCGCUCCCCGCAGGCCGCCGCCGCCGCCGCGCGCGAGCUCUGGUCGCUCCGCCUCGAGGGCCUCCACCUCCUCACCCCGGACGUCUCCGAUCCCGCCCUCGCCGCGCACGCCGCCCCCCUCAUCGCCUCCCUCUUCGCCGCCCACGCCGCCCGCCUCGUCGACUCCGACCUCGUCUCCCUCACGGCCGCCCGCUCCUCCGAGCUCGCGGCCUCCAUCCAGGCGGUGAAGCGCCGCCUGGCGGGGCACAAUCGCAUCCGCGACUUCGAGCAGCUCCAGGCCCAGAAGAGAACUCUCAAGGCUGAGAAGGAGUUGGUAGAUGCUAAAAUCGAUGAGUACAAAGCCGCGAUGAGAUCGAUACGGCGUGCAUUGUUGCGUGGGACGGAGGAUGACGAGGAGGCAGAGGAGGAAGGGUUGGAGGUGUUUGGGAUUGGGGGAGGUGGUGAGAUGAAUUUCGCUAGGCUGCACAUGAUAAUGCUGCGGGAAUGUAGAAGGCUUAAGGAGGGGCUACCCAUCUAUGCUUACCGCAGGAACAUUCUAGAUCACAUUUUCGCUAACCAGGUGAUGAUUUUGAUUGGGGAAACUGGUUCUGGGAAGAGCACACAAUUGGUUCAGUAUCUUGCUGACUCAGGUCUUGCUGCUAAUGGUUCAAUUGUCUGUACUCAACCCCGAAAAAUUGCUGCUAUAUCAUUGGCACAUAGAGUAGUUGAAGAAAGCAAUGGUUGCUACGGGGACAACUUUGUGUUGAAUUCAACCUUUUUAGAUCAUCAAGAUUUCAGUUCAAAGAUUAUAUAUACCACAGACAACUGCCUUUUGCAUCACUGUAUGAAUGAUAUGGGACUAGAUGGCAUUUCAUAUAUUAUUGUUGAUGAAGCGCAUGAACGAAGCUUGAACACCGAUCUUCUCUUAGCUUUGAUUAAGAAGAAACUGCUUGAUAGGCUGGAUUUGAGACUUAUCAUAAUGUCUGCUACUGCCGAUGCUAAUAGACUCGCUGAAUAUUUUUAUGGAUGCCAAACAUUUUAUGUUAAAGGGCGAAGUUUUCCUGUUGAAAUUAAAUAUGUCCCUGAUAUAUCAGAAGAGGCUUCCUUCAAUACCGUGCCAAACCAUCUGCGCGGUUCUUGUGCUACUGCUUCAUAUGUUUACGAUGUUGUGAAAAUGGUAAGCAUCAUUCACAAGAAUGAAGAAGAGGGUGCUAUCCUUGCUUUCUUGACUUCUCAACUCGAAGUUGAAUGGGCAUGUGAAAACUUCAGCGAUGCAGAUGCUGUGGUACUUCCGAUGCAUGGAAAGCUUUCCCAUGUAGAGCAAAGUCUAGUUUUCAAGAGCUAUCCUGGGAAGAGAAAAAUAAUCUUCUGCACAAAUAUUGCUGAAACAUCAUUGACCAUAAAAGAAGUGAAGUAUGUUGUUGAUUCUGGACUGGCUAAGGAGAGCAGAUUUGUGCCUAGCAGUGGUCUCAAUGUACUGAAAGUUAAUUGGAUCUCCCAAAGUUCUGCUAAUCAGCGUGCUGGCCGAGCAGGUCGAACUGGAGCGGGGAGGUGUUACAGGCUUUACUCUGAAUCUGACUUCAGUAUGAUGGAAGUGCAUCAAGAACCUGAAAUCCGCAAAGUUCAUCUUGGCACUGCUGUUCUGAGAAUACUUGCGCUGGGUAUUAGGGAUGCACAGAAUUUUGAAUUUGUUGAUGCCCCAAACCCAGAAGCUAUUAAUAUGGCUGUAAAGAAUCUUGAACAACUGGGUGCUGUAAAAUAUAAAUGUGAUGGUUUUGAGCUGACUGAUACUGGUCGCUACCUAGUUAAAUUGGGAAUCGAGCCGAGGCUUGGGAAAAUCAUGCUUGAUUGCUUUGGUUUUGGUUUGAGGAAGGAAGGUGUAGUUCUAGCUGCUGUUAUGGCAAAUUCUAGCAGCAUAUUUUGUAGAGUGGGCACAGAUGAGGAGAAAUACAAAGCUGACCGUCUAAAGGUCCCAUUCUGUCAUCAGGAUGGAGAUCUGUUCACUUUACUAGCUGUAUAUAAAGAGUGGGAGGAUGAGCAUGAAAACAGGAAUACGUGGUGCUGGCAGAAUAGCAUCAAUGCCAAGACCAUGAGGAGGUGCCAGGAAACAAUAUCAGACCUUGAGAAUUGUUUAAGACACGAGCUGAACAUCAUUGUCCCAAGUUACUGGUGUUGGAACCCUGAGGAGUCCACCGUGCAUGAUAAGUUGCUAAAAAGAAUUAUUCUCACAUCUCUUUCUGGUAAUAUUGCUAUGUUUUCUGGACAUGAAAGGUUUGGUUACCAGGUGAUUUCAACGGAUCAGGCUGUGAAACUACAUCCCUCUUGCUCAUUGCUCAUUUAUGAUAGCAAGCCUGAGUGGGUGGUGUUCACAGAAAUCUUGUCAGUACCAAAUCAAUAUUUGGUAUGUGUAACUGCUAUUGAUCCUGAUGCUUUGUGUUCGAUUCACCCCAUGCCUUUGAUUCAGCAACUGGAGAAGCUUAAAUUGCAGGUGAAGGUAAUAAGUGGACUUGGAUAUAACUUGCUGAGAAAAUUUUGUGGAAAAUCUGGCCAAAAUCAGCAGAAGAUAAUCUCACUUCUCCAAGAAGAAUUCAGGGAUGACCGUGUGACUGUUGAAGUUGACUUCAGAAAUAAAGAGGUUGUGCUAUUUGCCAAAGAACAAGACAUAGAAAAGGUGUUUGGCAUCGUUAAUGAUGCAUUGGAGUGUGAAGCUCGGAUGUUGAGGAAUGAAUGCCUUGAGAAAAGUUUGUUUUCUGGAAAACCUGGUGAUUGUUCUCUUGCCCUAUUUGGUUCUGGUGCUGAAAUAAAGCAUUUGGAACUUGAGAAGAGGUAUCUGACCGUAGAGGUUUUGCAUCAAAAUGCUCAUGAGUUGAAUGACAAGGAGCUUAUUUGCUUGGUGGAUACUCUUAUCUCUGGUGUUGCUAAUUUUUAUAAACUUUAUGGAAAUCUUCAGGUGGCCUCAGAUGAAACGAAGUGGGGGAAGUUUACAUUCCUCAAUCCUGAAUAUGCUGAAGAUGCUGUUUCAAAAUUGAAUGGGAUGGAAUUUCAUGGUUCUCCAUUGAAAGUGGUUCCAGUAUGCUCUUCCAGUAAUCGAGGAUUACCAUUUCCAGCAGUGAGAGCUAAAGUAUCUUGGCCACUUAAGCAAAGUCGGGGACUCGCGCUGGUAACAUGUGCCAGUGGGGAAGCUGAAUUUGUUGUAAAGGACUGCUUUGCUCUGGGAGUUGGUGGAAGGUAUAUCAACUGUGAGGUUAGUACAAGACAUGAGAAUUGCAUUUUUGUCAGAGGAAUUCCAAUGCAUGUAACAGAGCCAGAAUUGUAUGAUGCCUUUCGUAGCACGACAACAAGGAAAAUCGUUGAUGUGCAUUUGCUCAGGGGAACACCCAUAGCUGCCCCUUCUGCUUCCUUGUGUGCAGAAGCACUAAAUAGAGAAAUUUCUUCCUUCAUGCCAAAGAAAAUUUUUCCUGCCCAAAAUUUCCGUGUUGAGGUGUUAACUCCAGAGGAGAAUGAUUCGGUGAUGAGAGCCACUAUUACUUUUGAUGGAAGUCUUCAUCGAGAGGCUGCAAGAGCAUUGGAACAUCUUCAAGGAAGUGUUCUUCCAUGCUGUCUUCCUUGGCAGACAAUACAAUGCCAGCAUGUGUUUCAUAGUACUGUGUCCUGUCAAGUACGCGUGUAUAAUGUUAUCAGCCAAGCAGUUGCUUCUCUUCUUGAGAGCUUCCGAAGCCAAAAAGGCGUGUCUUACAAUUUGGAAAAGAAUGAAUAUGGUAUAUUCCGUGUCAAGCUUACUGCAAACGCCACAAAAACAAUAGCAGACUUGAGAAGGCCUCUUGAGAUUUUAAUGAAAGGCAAAACAAUAAACCAUCCUGAUCUGACACUAAGUACAGUUCAGUUGCUCAUGUCCCGUGAUGGUGUAGCAGAUUUGAAAUCUGUUGAGCAAGAGACUGGCACUUACAUUCUGUAUGACAGACAAAGUCUAAAUAUUAAAGUCUUUGGACUCCAAGAUCAGGUUGCUGCAGCAGAGGAGAAAUUGAUCCAUGCCCUUCUACAACUCCGUGAUAAGAAACCUUUGGAUAUUCGUCUUCGUGGCCGUAACCUACCUCCAAACUUGAUGAAGGAAAUGUUAAAAAAGUUCGGGGCUGAUCUGGAAGGAUUGAAGAGAGAGGUGCCUGCAGUAGAGCUUCGAUUAAAUUUACGACAACAUACACUUUACGUUCGAGGCAGUAAAGAAGACAAGCAAAGGGUGGAAGAAAUGAUCUCUGAGCUGGUAAAUUCUACAAAGUACAAUGGCCUGCUUCAACUUCCAUUAGAGAAUGCAUGCCCUAUUUGCCUGUGUGAGGUAGAAGAUCCCUUUAAGCUUGAAUCUUGUGGGCAUGUGUUUUGUCUGACUUGCUUGGUGGAUCAGUGUGAAUCUGCUUUGAAAUCACAUGAUGGUUUCCCUCUGUGUUGCCUCAAAAAUGGGUGCAAGAAGCAGCUCCUUGUUGUUGAUUUGAGAUCUCUCCUAUCGAGCGAGAAACUGGAAGAGCUAUUUAGAGCCUCCUUGAGAGCAUUUGUUGCUUCUAAUGCAGGAAAAUAUCGUUUCUGUCCUACUCCUGAUUGCCCAUCCAUUUACCAAGUGGCUGCUGCAGAUGCUGAAAGCAAACCUUUUGUCUGUGGGGCUUGCUUUGUGGAGAUCUGCAACAAGUGUCAUCUUGAAUAUCAUCCUUUCAUAUCCUGUGAGGCAUACAAAGAAUACAAGGAAGACCCUGAUGCAACUCUGCUUGAAUGGCGCAAGGGGAAGGAGAAUGUGAAGGUAUGCCCUUCUUGCCACUUUACAAUCGAGAAAGCUGAUGGUUGCAACCAUGUCGAGUGUAAAUGUGGCAGUCACAUUUGUUGGGCAUGCUUGGAGAACUUCAGGAGCAGUGAUGAUUGUUAUAGCCAUCUCAGGGUCCACGUGGAUUGACCCUAGGUGUGCUCUCGUCUCGCACGCGGCAGCGGCGGCGACUUCAGGCGACGCGGCACUGUGCUCCACCGUCGGUGUGCACUCUACCUGCAGGCGGCGGAGCAGUGACCGACGAGGUGCUCUACCUGUGGCAGCGGCGGAUGGAGGCACCAGUGGGCGGCGGCUAUCUGCUUGAUGGCCAACCGGAGGAGCAGUGACCGGCGAGGUGUUCCGGAGGACACUCCACCGGCAGCAACGAUGAGGGCUCCGGAGGACACCCAGCCACAUCGCCACCUUCGUCCAGCUGGGUUUCUCUCGCCCGUGAGCACCGAACCUGGGCCUAGAGGAUUCAAUGGAUUGUGGAAGCUUAUGGAUGUCCAAAUGAAGGAUCUGGUUAUUGAUGAUUCCAUGAACUUGGACGAGUCAAUGAAACGAAUGGACCUUUGAAAUACUCUGUUCUGUAAUCAUCAUUGCAUAGAAGAUAUUUUCUAGCUUCGUUAAUUUUUAGUCUGUCACUUUGAUGCCCUGGAUAUUUGUGAUGUUUAACUUCAUAUUUUGUGGAUGAUAUUUGAUCCUUGAAGGUUGCACUUUUAGUGUUGAUUUGUUUUACACAACAGAAAUUUCUAUAGUGAUAUUUGAUUCUGUAAGACUGCAUUUUUAGUAUUGUUGAUUUGCUUUGGACAACAGAAAUUUGAAAUUUCUGUAUAUUCGAUCUUGAA